rnacentral:tRNA from 1 species
GGAUUUAGCUCAGUGGUAGAGCGCUUGCCUAGGAAGCCAGCAAGGCCCUGGGUUCGGUCCCCAGCUCCG